rnacentral:rRNA from 1 species
UACGUAGGGUGCAAACGUUGCUCGGAUUUACUGGGCGUAAAGCGCGUGUAGGCGGGCGACUAAGUCGGAUGUGAAAUCCCUGGGCUCAACCUAGGAACUGCAUUCGAAACUGGUCACCUAGAGUGAUGGAGAGGAAAGCGGAAUUCCCGGUGUAGAGGUGAAAUUCGUAGAUAUUGGGAAGAACACCGGUGGCGAAGGCGGCUAUCUGGACUGUGAUUGACGCUGAGGCGCGAAAGCGUGGGGAGCAAACAGG